rnacentral:rRNA from 1 species
UCGAGGAUCUUCGGCAAUGGGCGCAAGCCUGACCGAGCGACGCCGCGUGUGGGAUGAAGGCCUUCGGGUUGUAAACCACUGUCAGAGGGGAUGAAAUGCGUAGGGGUUCUCUCCUACGUUUGACAUAGCCUCAGAGGAAGUACGGGCUAAGUUCGUGCCAGCAGCCGCGGUAAGACGAACCGUACAAACGUUAUUCGGAAUCACUGGGCUUAAAGGGUGCGUAGGCGGCGGCGCAAGUUGGGUGUGAAAUCCCUCGGCUCAACCGAGGAACUGCGCUCAAAACUGCGUUGCUUGAGGGAGAUAGAGGUGAGUGGAACUUAGGGUGGAGCGGUGAAAUGCGUUGAUAUCCUAAGGAACACCAGUGGCGAAAGCGACUCACUGGGUCUCUUCUGACGCUGAGGCACGAAAGCUAGGGUAGCGAACGGGAUUAGAUACCCCCGUAGUCC